UUUUUAAAGGUUGACCUCGGAUCAGGUAGGAAUACCCGCUGAACUUAAGCAUAUCAAUAAGCGGAGGAA
rnacentral:rRNA from 1 species